UCCCGAUCAAUUUUACAGAGUAGGUACAGACGUUGUUCAGAUGUUCACAUGGUUAUAUUGUGUGAAAUUACAAAGUAAAAGAGAUUCUCCUUCCUUGUGGUGAAUUAUUUAUUAUUUUUAGACAGUGGGCUAACUCAUCUCAUAUAAUAGCCUGAAGGUGGCUGCAUUUCAGUGAAUGCCUGCGAAUUUCAGCAUUAUAUCGAUAAAGAAGGUCCACACGUGUUCAAGAUUGUACAACUUUUAACAAAAAUAUACUAAGGAACAGGACUAUAAACAUAUUAUCUAGAAGAGGAAAAUGGCAAACGAUAUCUUUUGGAGAAGGAAUGUCCCAGUUUAUUCAGACUGGGAAGACAGACUGUUGUCCCCUCAAUGGCCGAUUCCAAUUCCAAGUAUACCAGCGCUGCGUGUGAGUGAUAUGCAUCGUUCAACGACCAAACAGUGCUUCGCUCAGAGCCACGUUCACUCACCGGUCUCAUCGUUCACUCAACGAUCUGUGGCUUUGAACUCAAACAAUCUGGUUUUCAGAAGCUGCAUUUAUUCAACAUCAUUCAUUAUAAUCGACAAAAAUGGUAGAAGAAAAAACCUCCAAAAAGUAUUAUUGGAGAAAAUAACUUCUACCCAGUAAAAUGCUGAGUACUGAAGCCCAGGUAUAUCCACCCCAGGUGGCGGAUAGAGGAAUGCCUCCCAGAUAUGGGGGGUAAGGCCCACCGGUGAAAAUAAAUAGCCGGGUGGGCCGAAAUAGCGAACCAAUGUCAAUCCACCACAUCCCGGUCCCGUGAAGUCGGAAAUGAGAGUUUAUAUAACUCGUAAAUGGUAUUUAUAGAAGUUUGGCAUUUAAAGUAGCCAAUCUUACAGAACGGGAGUAGGUGGCGCAUGGAGCUGUUGAACAGGUUGAACACGGGGGGUGGGGUGCCCGUGAGGGGAUGCUAGUCUUCCAUCGGGCGCCUCACCCCGGCUGGGAAGACUCAUAGGACAAAAUGUGAACUAAAGGAAAUGCAGGAACAGAACGAUUUUGAACAGCCACGUUCACUCACCGGUCUCAUCGUUCACUCAACGAUCUGUGGCUUUCAACUCAAACAACCUGGUUUUCAGAAGCUGCAUUUAUUAUAAUUUAUUAUCAUUCAUUAUAAUCGACAAAAAUGGUAGAAGAAAAAACCUCCAAAAAGUAUUAUUGGAGAAAAUAACUUCUACCCAGUAAAAUGGUCAAUCCACCACAGCCCGGUCCCGUGAAGUCGGAAAUGAGAGUUUAUAUAACUCGUAAAUGGUAUUUAUGGGAGUUUGGCAUUUAAAGUGGCCAACCUUACAGAGUGAGAGUAGGUGGCGCAUGGAGCCUGUUGAACAGGUUGAACACGGGGGGUGGGGUGCCCGUGAGGGGAUGCUAGUCUUCCAUCGGGCGCCUCACCCCGGCUGGGAAGACUCAUAGGACAAAAUGUGAACUAAAGGAAAUGCAGGAACAGAACGAUUUUGAACAGCCACGUUCACUCACCGGUCUCAUCGUUCACUAACCGAUCUGUGGCUUUGAACUCAAACAAUCUGGUUUUCAGAAGCUGCAUUUAUUAUAAUUUAUUAUCAUUCAUUAUUAUCGACAAAAAUGGUAGAAGAAAAAACCUCCAAAAAGUAUUAUUGGAGAAAAUAACUUCUACCCAGUAAAAUGCUGAGUACUAAUGCCCAGAUAUAUCCACCCCAGGUGGCGGACAGAGAAAUGCCUCCCAGAUAUGGGGGGUAAGGCCUACCGGUGAAAAUAAAUAGCCGGGUGGGCCGAAAUAGCGAACCAAUGUUGUCCCCUCAAUGGCUGAUUUCAAUUGCAAGUACAGUAGCGCUGCAUGUGAGUAUAUGCAUCGUUCAACGACCAAACAGUGCUUCGCUCAGAGCCACGUUCACUCACCGGUCUCUGGCUUUGAACUCAACCAAUCUGGUUUUCAGAACCUGCAUUUAUUCAACAUCAUUCAUUAUAAUCGACAAAAAUGGUAGAAGAAAAAACCUCCAAAAAGUAUUAUUGGAGAAAAUAACUUCUACCCAGUAAAAUGUUGGCUCUACAGUCCUGGGUGGACCUUGGCCUCCUCAACACAAUGUCUCCAAUCGCCUCUUCUCUGGGAUCUUUGCCGCCAGUUGUUGGAUACGCCCAGUGAAAUGUUUCAACUUCCUAGACUCCGCCGUUGUGAUUUCUCCUCAUCCGCCUUCGAGACCGUUGGCCAGUUUUAACCCGUAACCCUGGGCAGGGGCCCUUACAGGGUGCUACCAUCCGGAGCCAGAUGGACCCCGGAUUUUUAACGAGGUGUAUCUCCUUCCCUAUCGCUUGCAAGAUAAGGCCCCGGGCUUGCGACCGGCAUGGCGGAGUUAAUUAUUAUAUUAUACAUACAAAAUUGCUAAUACUAAACUUAGUUCUAAUUAUGAUACCCCACUAUAAUAAUAUGUGUCGAGGUGUUCAUAAUAUUUUUUUCUAAACCAUGUAUAAAAAAUGUAAUUAGUAAUUUUAGUUAUAAAGGUUUGUUAGUUAAUAAAAGGUAGAAUAAAAAGAAGACAGUAGUUCAUUCUAUAUCCUAUUUACAAUGAGCUCCUCGGUCUGGUAAAUGCCAGUAUCAUAUAACCAAUUCCGUACUGCUCUUUUAAAUCUAUUUAUAUUUAUUUUGUCCUUUGCGAUCUGCGGGAUUUUAUUGUAAAUUCUAGGACCUAAAUAUUGUACAGAUCUCUGACUAAAAGCUGUGUUCAUUCUGGGAACGAGAAGAAAAUUCAGAUUUCUAAUUCUGGUGUUGUGGCUAUGGAAAAUAAAAUCGGUAAAAUUUGUAUUCUUCUUAAUAUAAAUCACUAAAACUAAUACAUAUAA
rnacentral:lncRNA from 1 species